rnacentral:rRNA from 1 species
GAGAGGACCGGAGUGGACGCAUCACUGGUGUUCGGGUUGUCAUGCCAAUGGCACUGCCCGGUAGCUAAAUGCGGAAGAGAUAAGUGCUGAAAGCAUCUAAGCACGAAACUUGCCCCGAGAUGAGUUCUCCCUGAGACUAUAAGUCUCCUGAAGGAACGUUAAAGACGAUGACGUUGAUAGGCCGGGUGUGUAAGCGCAGCGAUGCGUUGAGCUAACCGGUACUAAUGAACCGUGAGGCUUAACCUUACAACGCCGAAG